UCAAGCGUUAAGGGCAUACGGUGAAUGCCUUGGCAUCAAGGGCCGAAGAAGGGCGUGGCAAGACUGCGAUAAGCCUCGGUUUGCUGUCUAGCAAGCUUAACCGGGGAUUCCCGAAUGGGGCAACCCAUCCUUCCUAAAGGAGGAUACCCCCGGCUGAACACAUAGGCCGGGUGGAGGUAAGCGGGGGAAGUGAAACAUCUCAGUACCCCGAGGAAAAUAGAAAGACAUUGAUUCCCCUAGUAGUGGCGAACGAACGGGGAUAAGCCUAAACCUGGUAAACCUAACGGCGUCAGGGCCUAUGUUUACCGGGUGUCGUAAGGCAGAUAUGACCGAACCUGGAAUAGGUCAAGGAGUUAAAAACCCAACCCUAGUUAAAGGUCCCUGGAAAGGGCCACCAUAGAGGGUGAUAGUCCCGUAAACGAAAGGGGUAGGCUCCUCAUCUGUUCUUGAGUACCACGGGACACGAGAAACCUUGUGGGAAGCUACCCUGACCACGGGGUAAGGCUAAAUACCCUUGAUGACCGAUAGUGAACCAGUACCGUGAGGGAAAGGUGAAAAGAACCCCGGGAGGGGAGUGAAAUAGUACCUGAAACCGUAUGCUUACAAGCAGUUAGAGUCCCGGUCAAACGGGAUGAUAGCGUGCCUAUUGAAGAAUGAGCCGGUGAGUUAAUCUAUGUGGCUGGUUAAGCAACUGUAGUUGCGGAGCCGAAGCGAAAGCGAGUCUUAAUAGGGCGAAAUAUAGUCGCAUGGAUUAGACCCGAAGCCGGGUGAGCUAUCCAUGGCCAGGGUGAAGCUCCGAUAAAAUCGGAGUGGAGGCCCGAACUGAUUAGCGUUGCAAAGCUACCGGAGGAGCUGUGGAUAGGGGUGAUAUGCCAAACGAACCCGGUGAUAGCUGGUUCUCCCCGAAAUGCAUUGAGGUGCAGCCUUAGGUGUUUGUUAAUGGAGGUAGAUCACUGGAUGGACUAGGGGGCGAGUAGCUUACCAACUCCAACCAAACUACGAAUGCCAUUAACCUAUAACCCGGGAGUGAGACCUAAGGUCCCCAAGAGCAGACUAAGUGGGAAAGGAAGUAAAAUUGCACAGACAGCCAGGAGGUUGGCUUAGAAGCAGCCACCCUUUAAAGAAUGCGUAAUAGCUCACUGGUUUAGUGGUUCUGCGCCGACAAUCCAACGGGGCUUAAGUCUGUCACCGAAGCUAUGGCAUCUUUCGCAAGAAGGAUGGGUAGGGGAGCGUUCCCUCCGCUGUGAAGCCGUUCUGUAAAGAGUGGUGGAGCAAAGGGAAGUGAGAAUGCCGGCAUGAGUAGCGCAAGACGUGCGAGAAACACGUCCACCGAAAACCUAAGGUUUCCUACGCAAGGUUAAUCCGCGUAGGGUUAGUCGGGCCUAAGCUGAGGCCGGAAGGCGUAAGCGAUGGACAACGGGUUAUUAUUCCCGUACCGCUGUUGUGGAGGCAAAGGAGGGUAGCGGACAGGUAGGUCAGGCAUACGUAAUGGACAUCGUGUGUCCUCUGUCCAGGCAAAUCCACCCCGGAUAUUAACUGAAAAUAGAGGGAAGUUGAGGAGAAAUCCGAUGUGAUCUGGCCCAUCCUAUGCUGCCAAGAAAAACUUCGUUGCCUUUGAAGCAAUAGCGCCCGUACCGCAAACCGACUCUGGUAGGUGGGGAUAAAAGUCCCAAGGUGAUCGAGAGAACCCUCGUUAAGGAACUCGGCAAUCUAACCCCGUAACUUCGGGAAAAGGGGUGCCUUGUUUAAUCAAUGAGGUGGCACAUAAUUGGCCCAAGUGACUGUUUAACAAAAACACAGCUCUCUGCAAAAGCGUAAGCUGAAGUAUAGGGGGUGAUACCUGCCAGGAGUUAGGAGCAAUCCAAAGCCCUGAACUGAAGCCCCGGUAAGCGGCGGCCGUAACUAUAACGGUCCUAAGGUAGCGAAGUCCCUUGUCGGGUAAGUUCCGACCCGCACGAAUGGUGUAACAACUUGGGCGCUGUCUCAACGAGGGACUCGGUGAAAUUGAAUUAGCCGUGCAGAUGCGGCUUACCCGCGGAUGGACAAAAAGACCCCGUGGAGCUUUACUAUAACUUGGCACUGAGUCUGAGUUUAUUUUGUGUAGGAUAGGUGGGAGGCUUUGAAGUCGCGGCGCUAGCCGGAAUGGAGCCGCCGUUGAAAUACCACCCUGAAUGAAUUUAGCCUCUAACUUCUGUGCAAGCAGAAGGACCGUGCCUGGCGGGUAGUUUGACUGGGGCG
rnacentral:rRNA from 1 species